rnacentral:rRNA from 1 species
CCUACGGGAGGCAGCAGUGAGGAAUAUUGGUCAAUGGGCGCGAGCCUGAACCAGCCAAGUAGCAUGAAGGAUGACUGCCCUACGGGUUGUACACUUCUUUUAUAAAGGAAUAAAGUGAGGCACGUGUGCCUUUUUGUAUGUACUUUAUGAAUAAGCAUCGGCUAACUCCGUGCCAGCAGCCGCGGUCAUACGGAGGAUGCGAGCGUUAUCCGGAUUUAUUGGGUUUAAAGGGAGCGUAGAUGGGUUGUUAAGUCAGUUGUGAAAGUUUGCGGCUCAACCGUAAAAGUGCAAUUGAUACUGGCAGCCUUGAGUACAGUGGAGGUAGGCGGAAUUCGUGGUGUAGCGGUGAAAUGCUUAGAUAUCACGAAGAACUCCGAUUGCGAAGGCAGCUUACUAAACUGCCACUGACAUUGAGGCUCGAAAGUGUGGGUAUCAAACAGGAUUAGAUACCCGAGUAGUC